UACAGAGGUCUCAACCGUUGUUCGGAUUCAUUGGGCGUAAAGGGUGCGUAGGCGGCGCGGUAAGUCGGGUGUGAAAUCUCGGGGCUUAACUCCGAAACUGCAUUCGAUACUGCCGUGCUUGAGGACUGGAGAGGAGACUGGAAUUUACGGUGUAGCGGUGAAAUGCGUAGAUAUCGUAAGGAAGACCAGUGGCGAAGGCGGGUCUCUGGACAGUUCCUGACGCUGAGGCACGAAGGCCAGGGGGAGCAAACGGG
rnacentral:rRNA from 1 species